rnacentral:rRNA from 1 species
CGGAAUUACUGGGCGUAAAGGGCUCGUAGGUGGCCAACUAAGUCAGACGUGAAAUCCCUCGGCUUAACCGGGGAACUGCGUCUGAUACUGGAUGGCUUGAGAUUGGGAGAGGGAUGCGGAAUUCCAGGUGUAGCGGUGAAAUGCGUAGAUAUCUGGAGGAACACCGGUGGCGAAGGCGGCCAUCUGGACCGCAACUGACGCUGAGGCGCGAAAGCAUGGGGAGCGAACAGG